rnacentral:sRNA from 1 species
AAAAAUUGAACUCAGGCAAAUAACGCCGCGUCCUACGGCAACGAUUGCAUGACCCACGUUCUAUGGG